UGGAAAAGGACCAAAUACACAAAAGAUUCCCUCUCAAGACCUGGUAAGGUCGGUACUAGAACCACUACUAAAAUAUACCCAGAGUACUAGACAGAAUCCAAAUAAUACCCAAUAUACACAAGUAGUCUAGUACAAAAGACUCAAUCGGAGUAGAUAGAGGAAGAUCAGCAUCGAACGAUGGUAAGCUCACCCUGCUACGAAUCAGUACUGGAAGGUAGGAAUCACAUCAAUGUCGGCUGCUACUAAUCAGAUCUGCAUAAGGAAAAAGAUGCAGAAGUGUAGUAUAAGUACCAAAGCAACGGGUACUCAAUAGGCAUCAUCGGUCGACUGAGCUCAAUACAGAAAUGGUAUAACUACAAUGCAGGGAUGUAAUCUAAGUCGACAGUAAAAAGGGACCAAAAGGUAAAUAACUGCCAAGCUACACCAAUGAGAUAGAGGAUUAAAUGUAAGCGAUACGGAAAAUAAAUAACCCAGUAAUUACAAACAAAUCAAACAUAACCUAACUGGGCCCUAUAAGCCUACUAGGCACACAACAUAACCUAACUAGACCCCCAUAAGAUCGCUAGGCACACUGAAGAAGACAAUUAACCCAACCAUACCCCAUAAGAUGGUGGGACACACAAAUAGCAAUUAAAGAAAAUAAAUAUAAAUAAUCUGUAACUGAGCCAAUCCCAAGAAAUCAUGAUAGUCAUCUAGAUGUGCACCGGACUUGAAAUCAUGAUAGUCCGGACUUGAAAUAAUCAACGUCUAAAUAAUCAUCCGCCAAUCUUAAUUAAAAAGGAAUAAAUUCAAUAUUUUGCAAUUUAGUUUAACGUCCUAAAGUAAUAGAUGUUGUAUUAUAUUAAAAGAUAAUAUUUCAAUAUUUACUAGAAUGGGGUCCUAAUCCGAAUAAAUAAGACAGUUUAUAUAAAUCAAAUAAAUACACAUCUGCAAGCACCUAUCCAAAGCUAGCAUAAUUGUUUACAAUUUCAGUAAAUAAGUUCAAUCUAAAGGUAGGAUAAAUCUAGCAUACCUGGAUGCCACAGCUAAAAAAAAUAUCUCUGAGAAUCCUCCAAAUAAUAUUCUACUAGAAACCGAGCUUGAAUAACUUGAUUUUGAAAAUUAAUUAUGCACGAAUAAACAUACCACGCGGCACAUACACGCCUUGGACCAGCCAUGAAUGAAAAAAUAAAGAGAUGGAGAAAAAAGAACACUUAAGGAUCAAUGAUCCUACCCCUUACGUACAACAACAACAUAUAUUAGAACUAUUUUUAUAGAGUGGAACCAAAGUUUUAUAUGAG
rnacentral:lncRNA from 1 species